rnacentral:tRNA from 1 species
ACCUGGCUGGCUCAGUUGGUAGAGUACAUGAAUUUUGAUCUUGGGGUUGUGAAUUCAAGCCUCAUGUUGGGUA